rnacentral:snRNA from 1 species
AUUCAAAACAAUAUUCAUUG